GACGACGCUGGGCGGCGUGGAUUAGGCAUGCAAGUCGAACGGUAGGAUACCCUUCGGGUAUCUGAGAGUGGCGAACGGGUGAGUAACACGUAGGUGAUCUACCCUCAAGGAUUGGGACAACCCAGGGAAACUUGGGCUAAUACCGGAUGAAAGCAGCAGUGAUGUUGUUUGAAAGGUGGCGUAAGCUGCCGUUUGGGGAUGAGCCUGCGCUCUAUUAGUUAGUUGGCGGGUAAAGGCCCACCAAGGCGAUGAUAGAUAGGCGGCCUUAACGGGUGGUCGCCCACACUGGGAUUGAGAUACGGCCCAGACUCCUACGGGAGGCAGCAGUCGAGAAUAGUCUACAAUGGCCCGAAAGGCUGAUAGUGCGACGCCGCGUGAACGAAGAAGCCCUUCGGGGUGUAAAGUUCUUUUAUAUGUGAGCAGUGCUUUCUAUGUGAACAGCAUGGGGAGAGAGAUAUUAGCAUAUGAAUAAGCAACGGCUAACUCCGUG
rnacentral:rRNA from 1 species